UUACCCAAUCCUAAUACAGGGAGGUAGUGACAAGAAAUAACAAUACAGGACUUUUUGGUUUUGUAAUUGGAAUGAGUUAAGUAUAAACCCCUUUACAAGUAUCAAUUGGAGGGCAAGUCUGGUGCCAGCAGCCGCGGUAAUUCCAGCUCCAAUAGCGUAUAUUAAAGUUGUUGCAGUUAAAAAGCUCGUAGUUGGAUUUCUGUUAAUAAUUUAUAUAAAAUAUUUUGAUGAAUAUUUAUAUAAUAUUAACAU
rnacentral:rRNA from 1 species